rnacentral:lncRNA from 13 species
AUGGUUUACUCUGAACUCGCCCGUUUUGCAGCUCUGGCACCGACGACUUCACGCCUCCGUUGGACUCCUCACCCGGAAUGCACCAUCGUAGUUCCCCCUGGCAUACCGACUCGCUAUGACAGGUUGGCACACGUACAGCCUACUGUACCCACAGAUGAACCACCAGACCGGCCGUAUCAUCAACGGGAUCAUCAGACUGAAGUGAAGCUCCGAAUAGGCUACCCGACAUCUCCCGUGUUGUAACAGGGCCGCACCGGCAAAGGACUGCAUACCAUUAGGGGACAGUCUGCUAAAAAGGUUGCACUUGUCGAAUAUGUGUUAGAACUUCUCUGUCCGUUGGGAUUGGGAGCAGUAGCCUAUUCCAAUUUCCAUUGUGGCCCGUUCGUGUUCUACACUGCGCUCUAUGCGCACACACGUUGUCUUUGGGUUGUGUUCGAUUUCAAAGUUCAUGUUUGUUUUAAUGUUCAAGUAGCUUGCUAUUCGGGACAUUGCCUCAAUCAGAGUUGUCAGUUGUGAAUAGUGCGACUUGUCAGCCACAAAGAAAUGGUGGUUCGAGUGUUCUGCUGUAGCAGCUAAAGGCAAGUGUCAACAUUUGAAGGAUGAACCUUGGAUAUUCAUUCAGAGCUUCAGUCAGUGUGGCAGCAGUGCCUGCACACAGAAUCACUCACAUUCUGAGACUGCUUCUCAGAUAAACAUUACAGUAAAAAACUAAAUUCGUUUUUUACUUUAGUGUAUUCAGAUAUGUGUUGAGUUAAAAGCUUAUUUAAAGCCAUAUUAAAAGUAGGAAAGUAUUUGAAAAUAGCAAAAAAAAUGUAGGUUGUUACCCAUGUCAUGGUUUGGUUUGAAUUUGACAAACUCAUUCUGGCUCAAGUGCUAAAAAAGAAACGCCCCAGACAUCUGCCAGUCAUUUUUCAGUUCCCAUUCGGUUAUGUUUUUUUAUUCCUGUUUUGUCAACCACAACAAAAACAGUCGAGUGCCUGAACUGUGCCAUAUUAUCUCAGAGAUGUUGAUUGACGGAGGACUACGUCAUCUCUGUGUGUGCCUCUUCCACUGCCUGUGUCCAUGCGUGACACAGGAUUCAAGCAUGCUGGACCAGGUAUGAGACUGCACAUGCCACGAAGGAACACUGCAGGCAACAAGGCCCACAUAGUUAGUUAAGAAGGCUAUGACAGAGAGAAUUAGUACCCACUUCAGAGAAGAGAGGAGUAUGUGAGUUAUUUUCCCGCAGACUCAGUGCCACAUUGGAAUCAGUGCUCGGGGCAACCAAUUACAGUUUUGAUUGAACACGACUUCCUGCUCGCUGUGGGAAAUCCACCUCGAUCUGGACUUUGAGACUUUGUCGUAUUCCACUUGUUUUUUUGAUUACUCCUGAUAUCCUCGUUAUUGCCUUUUCCAUUCGAUAUUUUUGGAUAUAGCCAUCUUCAAGCACAUUUGGAGUCACUUAACAGGAUGAAAUCUGUCCCUUUUUUAAAAAUAGGGGUUGUUUCGAAUCGUGCCAGUUGGAAGUUUGGCAGGACUAAGAACACAUGAGCAGGGUUUUCAUCGGGCCUAGACUACCUUUAUCCCCACCCUUAAACUGUAAUCCUGAGACUGAGACAUAAGGCACUGUCACUCCUCUACUCCCUGUCCCACACACUUUGCGGGUUCAAAGGGCGAGAACCCCAGUAGACUGAAAAAGUUGUGUCGCUGUGGUGAUGGGGAGUUCUGCCUCCUCUCUCACCGCAGAGACCGAGUCGGACCACGGGUUCCGGAGCACCCCGUACCCGUCGUCGCCUCCUAUGGGCUGGCUUAGGAACAGCCACAGUAGCCCGGUGUGGGGCACCACCUUCAUUACGCGCCAGCAGCAGCAGCCACCACAUCCAUACAGAGAGCGCAGGUAAGAGCCAACACUUCAGUCCACUGCACCUGGGCGACAGGGCCAGACUGGUCAGGCCUGUUGAUGGCCAGCAAGCAGAGAAAUGGGCCAUGCUCUGCAACACUAGGGGUUGUAUUACACAGGGAUGGAUGUCACUGGGGGUAGUUAGAGCAAGCAUAAAGGACAGAUGGCUUUGUUGUGCAGAUCGCAAUAUUGUGAUGUGUGUUUUAUUUGAGUCAUAUUCUAAGGGUGUUUUGACAUUUUUAGUGUGGCAAUUCUCAGAGCUCUCAGAUCCACUUUAAAUCGGACACCUGCCGCUGCCUUAGACACAAUUUACUGUGGACUAUUAUUUCAUAUUCAAGCCUUUUCAAUGAAAUCGCUUUAUAUGCACUGACAAUGUUAUAGUAUCAUUAAAUCUUACACAAUAUUAUUAAAUCAAAAGUAUGGUUCCAAAUUUGAUCUAAACAUAGUUCCGCUUUGAUAUUUUGAUAUCCAAAAUCCACUUGUGCUGGAUUUGUCAUCUGACAAUCCCACCUGUUAGUACCUCCUCCAGCUCUAUGCGCCAAAUUGGAUUGGUGUACCAAGUUGAUUGCACCCAUGGCGUGACCUAGGCACGAGCGACCCAGGCACAAACUCUCUCGCUGGGUGGAUUGGGGAGCUUGUAUCAUGGCAAAUCCUUUGGAGGGCGACCAGACCAGGAGACUUUUGAUUCCAUGACAUCGUCUUCGCUUGAGAGCACGCGAUACACUGGGCUCUGUUGUUUGAUGCCCGUCAAUGUGCUGUCCGCUAACAGA